UGUAAUUAAAUCAAAUACAACCAAAAUAUACUGAUUAAUUACAUAAUUUCAAAUGUCCAUAAGCAUAAGAUAAAUUAACUUCUAUCUAUCUAGCAGUCAGACUCCAUGCUGAUCUCAUUUCUUGUCCCACCCGAUGGACUCUACAAAUCCAGUGCCUCUGAAAAAGAAAGUAAGAGUAGUAUGAGCUUUUCCAGCCUAGUAAGAAUCCCAACAGCCACACACAGUAAUAAUGAUAAAAUCAUCAAAGUAACAAAUAAAUGUCAUUUCAUCAUUUCAAAAGCUCAACAAACAACAAGUAUAUAUAACCAUUUCAUAUACAUAAAUCCUUUUUCACAUUAUGUGAUCCAUUCACGUAUUACUCUGAUUUCCAAGUUUUAGAAUUUAUCACUUCUGGCUUUGGACUAAUCAAGAUCAUA
rnacentral:lncRNA from 1 species